UGCAGUGUUUUUCCUCUAGUUCAUGCUGACUGAAAUGACAAGCUGUUUUAUCGAAAAUGACUCUGUAGCUUCAAUCAGUCUGUCUGAAUUAUCCAGCUCAUCAUCGGUGUCUGAUAGAGCAUGUGUUCACUGGGGUUGUGUGCUCAGUGGCUCUGAGACCACAGCUGUCUUUCAAGCAGAAAAUGACCUUCUGGAGAACCAGUUUUUCAUCAAA